rnacentral:siRNA from 1 species
CAAAAUUUCUGAUUCGUUACG